ACAAACUUGGUCAUUUAGAGGAAGUAAAAGUCGUAACAAGGUUUCCGUAGGUGAACCUGCGGAAGGAUCAUUACCAAUCUUUAGCGGCCUUGGUUUGUUUCAUGGUCUCGCGAAACUUGUAUUUAAAACCUACUCAUAUAAUAGAAUAAUACUUAUACUUAUGAUAUAAAUAAAGAUCACUUUCAACAACGGAUCUCUUGGCUCUCUUAGAGGAAGUAAAAGUCGUAACAAGGUUUCCGUAGGUGAACCUGCGGAAGGAUCAUUACCAAUCUUUAGCGGCCUUGGUUUGUUUCAUGGUCUCGCGAAACUUGUAUUUAAAACCUACUCAUAUAAUAGAAUAAUACUUAUACUUAUGAUAUAAAUAAAGAUCACUUUCAACAACGGAUCUCUUGGCUCUCGCAUCGAUGAAGAACGCAGC
rnacentral:misc_RNA from 1 species